rnacentral:rRNA from 1 species
GAACGAAGGCUUCGGCCUUAGUGGCGCACGGGUGCGUAACGCGUGGGAAUCUGCCCCUUGGUUCGGAAUAACAGUUAGAAAUGACUGCUAAUACCGGAUGACGACGUAAGUCCAAAGAUUUAUCGCCGAGGGAUGAGCCCGCGUAGGAUUAGCUAGUUGGUGUGGUAAAGGCGCACCAAGGCGACGAUCCUUAGCUGGUCUGAGAGGAUGAUCAGCCACACUGGGACUGAGACACGGCCCAGACUCCUACGGGAGGCAGCAGUGGGGAAUAUUGGACAAUGGGCGAAAGCCUGAUCCAGCAAUGCCGCGUGAGUGAUGAAGGCCUUAGGGUUGUAAAGCUCUUUUACCCGGGAUGAUAAUGACAGUACCGGGAGAAUAAGCCCCGGCUAACUCCGUG